AAAAAGAUGCCCAACGUCUUCCAGAAUCUGGUCUCUUGCAAAAGAGUCUUCCGGGAAUUGAAGAUGUUGUGUUUUUUUAAACAUGAUAAUGUUAGGAUGUAGGAAAAGCUAUUUCUCAUCUGAAGACAGGACAGUCCUGAAGGAUAAGAUGGAGCUAGUCUGUUUACGGCUGUGUAGCGAUACGGAGACUCAGAGGGAAAGAGGCUUAUUGUGCUUUGGAAGACCUCAUCUCAGCUGACCUGAGUUACGUGCAGAUUCAGGGAGAGUUUACUUGGGAUUUGUUAGUGUUGAACUGUUUUGUUUUCCUGUGAAAAGAACUGCCUCACUCUUCACAUGGUACUUAACUAUUUUAAUUGUUGUAAUUAAAACUCUAUCAAAA
rnacentral:lncRNA from 1 species